UGGUAGGGGGGUUAGGAUGUUAGUGAGGUGUUAGAGAGGGAGGAGAUGGGAGGGAAGGGGCUUUGGAUAGAAGGGUGGUGGGGGGAAGGAGGAAGGGAAGAAGGGUGGUUGGGGUUAUGAGAUGGAGAGAAAGCCUGGUGAAAGAUCUGUGGGAGGUUGGGUUAGGGAGAGGGGAAAAAAGGGUUUAGUAUGGGUGGUCUCUAUUUUUUGAGGGAAGGUAAAACUGCGUUGUAAAUCUCCGCAGCAGGACAAGUAGGAACAACAGGUCCGAGGCUCAACCUACCUGGCAGAGACCAAAAGAGACCAUGACCCCGUGAAAAGCCACUUCUCAGAUGUGGACAGAGGAAGACUCGAGGGUCCUGGCAAAGAGGGUUGAGGACCGUCCUGGGAUGAGGCUGUGAAAGCCCCAGGAGGUACUGAACACAGCUGUGGUACUGCUUCUGCAGGGUGGUAUGUAACGCUUCCUCGAUGCCUGGUCCCUGCGAGCAGGGAGGGGCUCCUGAGGCGUCGUCUGUUGUGGCCCAGAAGGCUGGGCGAGAGGCUGCGAUCCCUGACUGAAGGGUGGUCGAGGGAGAGAUUCGUGAGGCAGGACUGAGUACCUGUGUGGUAGUUGGUAAUGAACUCCUCGGGUAGCAUGUUGGGGGUGGAAAGGGUUCUGUCUGUGUGUGAAAUUCAACCAAGUUUUAUUUUUCCAGGUGGCAGUAUUUCCUCUCCUUCUGGAGUCUUUCCUCUAGGUUGGAAGGGACCAGAUGUGCUCACUCUACUCGUCCUGCUCCUCCUUCCUUUAUCUCGGGAGGUUAUCAGGCAAUGAGUUCAAUUUUUAAUUUCCUUCUGGUUGAGGCGUAAGUAAAUGGGGGAGGUGGUGUUCUCCGGUGGGUGACUAUGCUGCCCGUUGCGUACCCAUCAAAAGAGAUUUUUCUGCCCUGAAUGUCUGGGUGGGGUAGGUUCGGAAAACCGCCACCACGUGCCAAACCCCCCGGUAUCCUAGAAUAUCUCUGGCUGGAAAAGCUGUAUGUUGCCAUCAUUUAAAGAACGGGUGGAGUUCGGUUUUAAUGGGCUUUAAGUCCAGAGGUCGGUCACUAGCUGAACUCACGGGGGCCGGGGUGGUAAAACGAAGCUAUUUCUAGACUUUUUUCCAGGUGAGUUUGCCAUAGAGUAAAAAGAUAGCGUUCAUCGUGGCGAUCAGAAGGCACCAUAAGAAAUGAAGCUGUUUGGCAGUGUGUAACGUUAAAGCAGUGCAGGAGAGGAGAUUCCCAGAACCCCGUACCCGAGAGCUUGAAACCCCUGUCUCCAGAGCCCGCAUAAAUUGAUGCCUGCAGAAUUUAAGUUUCCAGAGCCGUUAUAAGGAAGUCCUCCACUUAAUGUUUCCAGAGCCUUGUCCCGGUGUCGAGGCUGCUGUCCCAAUGUUUUCAGAGGAGCUGUUUCGAUUGGGCUGCCUCUGCGUGGGCCAGAGAGAGCACGUCCGUCAGUCCCUACCUACCAUCAUUAGAUGUGCGGCUCUUUGAAAAUUUAAUCCGUCAUCCGCUCUGGCUGUUCCGAGCCUGGCUUCCACGAAUUGUGGGAGCCCCUCCCUCUUCUUGUCUACCAAGAAGCAAUGGGGGGGUGGUGGUUGCCUGUUGUUGCUGCUUCCAAAUUUGGCCUCCCUAUUUGCAUAUAUUUUUCCUCUAUUGUGCCAUGAAGCUCUGCUCCGAGAAGAUCGAGCUGUUUAGAAAAAAAACGCUAUAGCAUUGAUGCCACAGACUCUCAAUAAUGCUCUGCAGUGCUCUCGAUGGACCCAGCUUCAGUUACAAAGAUUUCCUUGUAUGCCGCUUUGCUGAGGUGAAGUUAGUGUCCCGGAAGACCGAGAGGAACUGAAGUGGGAGCUCUUCAGAAUGCUAGCCGCUGUGCUCGGGUAGAUGAUCUGUGCUUUGAUGUCUUGAAGUUUGAAUACUAAGAAAAUGUAACAUGUUUGUGCUACUCUAGGUGUGCAAACUCCCUAAGUAGUCCUGAGGAGCUUUGGGGGAAUUUCCUCCCCACCCUCUCCAAACCUCACACCCCCAGAGUCUGAUUAUGUAUGGAUACUGCAGGUUUUAAGGAGCCCUCUUUAUUCAUGCAGUGUCUUAGCCUGGACCUUGGAGUUUUCCGGGCAUGCUAACUUAGAAGCAAUAAGGAUCCAGAUUCCUUUUCUGCAUUAAUAUCUGUGGGACCCGCAGGACCAAAAGGAGAGAAGGGAGAUGAGCAAAUGGAAAAUGCGAAAUGUAAUGGAAGGAAUUGGGUGUCUUUUUUGAUGGGAAUGGGGAAAAGGAACAGUCUUUAAUUUGAAGGGAAAGUAGUGGAAGUGGUCUUGGUGGCAAAAAUCUGAAAGAGACCCCAAAGCACUAAAGGUUCCUUGGAAGAAAAAGCCGCCUCGAGAUAACUGAAUUGCUUCUGUUUUUCAGAAGGUUAUUUGGAAGUUCCUUGACUAGUUUUCAGGGAACUCCUGAACCAGUAAAGAACUUUAAUGCCGGGGGCUACAUUUGCCUUUUGACAUCAGACUUUCCAGAACAUAGAAGGCAGAGUCUUUGGCCCUAGUCUCUAAUGCUUGGCAAGAAGGUGAGCUAAGUCUUUGAACCGGACUGUUCCAUGAAGCUGACAUUUAAAUGUUUAGAAAGUUAAGAAGGAAAAUAACUUCACCCUCAGGUGUUUAAUGUACUCAUUUAGAGGGAAUUUAAGUUACUCUGUUACUGUUGAACUAGCAUCACUGUAAUUAGGAGGUAUUGAGCCUUAAUUUGUGGGGUGGUUUUAUCACGAAAAGAAACCAGUCAAAAUUUUAGUUUGCAAAUGUCAGUUUUUUAACUUUGCAAAAAAAAAUGACUGCAGUGGUAGGCAGUCCAGAGCUCAAAAACUUACCAAGAGUUUAACAAUAUUUAUUUGCAAAGAUUGUCUUUGGAGUACCUAAAAGUAACUAGGUAGAAAUGUGGUAAAUUGGUGCAUAAACAGUGUCUAUAAUUGGGAGAAUAAUUGACACUAGUAUAUUUGUCAGUCAACGUUGGUACAGCAAAAGCUAUACUGGCUGCAGCUUGCAGUUACAAAGGUUUCUGGAACUCCAGGAGUAAGAAAUAUCAAUAUUUUCUAUUCAGCAUGUUGGGCCGGAAGAGUGGGAUCACUGAGUCUGAAAAUAAGUUCUAGUUUGCAAAAGUAAGUUGGGUGCAAAAGGGAAAAUUUCCCUAACUUCUCACUCUUUUUGCUCAAGAGAAUGGCUUGUAAAUUAAGGCAAGGUCUUUAUUGAAAGAAAUCCUGCAAUAUGAGCCUUUACUAGCCCUAAACCAUGUAACUGUGGCUGUCAGUCUUCAUUUCAUUUUUGAUCACAAUUCUUACCAUUUUGAAGAAUGUGGCAGAGUCAAAUGCUUGUGUCAAGUCCUUCCUAGUAUAAAUAUCAGCAGAAGGAAUGUCUUUUAAAGUAAGUUUUAUUUAACAUGUGAAAUAUAGUGGCUUUAGCAACUCCAAUCAAAAUGAUUUGAGUAUAAUUCCCAUCUUUUACUCUCUGGUGCAAGUAAAGUAGCUACUAUUAUCAUGGGGAAAUGAAUAACUGAUUUUUUUCAUCCUUGGUUUCACAAUGAUUGCACAAGUCUUAUGUUCUCCUAACUGGUGUCUUUAAGCAGAGGUUUGGUAUGGGCAUGAUGCAAGCAAAACUAAAAUAGAAAUCCAUGUGCAUUAAUGAUUGUAUCCUUGAAAUGUCAAAUGUUUCAAACGGGAAAAUAAAGAGGUCACUUGGGAAAAUGCGGACAAUAAUGUAAAUGUCAAACUAGGGAAAUGGAAAUACGUUAUUUCACUGUAACUUGUUCAGAAGUAGCAUUAUAAUUACAUUGUAACUGAAUUACUAAUCCUUUUUUUCCUCCCUCUGCAGCAGAAAUAAAAAGUUUCCUUUAAAAGUA